rnacentral:rRNA from 1 species
UACGUAGGGUGCGAGCGUUAAUCGGAAUUACUGGGCGUAAAGCGUGCGCAGGCGGUUUUGCAAGACAGAGGUGAAAUCCCCGGGCUUAACCUGGGAAUGGCCUUUGUGACUGCACGGCUAGAGUGUGUCAGAGGGGGGUAGAAUUCCACGUGUAGCAGUGAAAUGCGUAGAGAUGUGGAGGAAUACCGAUGGCGAAGGCAGCCCCCUGGGAUAACACUGACGCUCAGGCACGAAAGCGUGGGGAGCAAACAGG